CGAUAGCUCGAUGGUGCGUCAGGCCUUUCAAUCCCUGGGACCAUAAUCUUCUGUCGGGAACUGCCUCUGUGCAGACUGCGGUCUGUGUAUUGCGGUGCCCACCUGUAUCACAGGUCACAGAGGAUGAAACAUGUCAACGGCUUGUCUGGCUAUCGU
rnacentral:other from 2 species